rnacentral:rRNA from 1 species
UACGGAGGGUGCAAGCGUUAUCCGGAUUUACUGGGUUUAAAGGGUGCGUAGGUGGGUAGGAAAGUCAGUGGUGAAAUCUUCGGGCUUAACCCGGAAACUGCCAUUGAUACUAUUUAUCUUGAAUACUUUGGAGGUAAGCGGAAUAUGUCAUGUAGCGGUGAAAUACUUAGAUAUGACAUAGAACACCAAUUGCGAAGGCAGCUUACUACACAGUUAUUGACACUGAGGCACGAAAGCGUGGGGAUCAAACAGG